CCUACGGGAGGCAGCGGUGGGGAAUUUUGGACAAUGGGCGCAAGCCUGAUCCAGCAAUGCCGCGUGCAGGAUGAAGGCCUUCGGGUUGUAAACUGCUUUUGUACGGAACGAAAAAGUCUGCCCUAAUACGGUGGGCCCAUGACGGUACCGUAAGAAUAAGCACCGGCUAACUACGUGCCAGCAGCCGCGGUAAUACGUAGGGUGCGAGCGUUAAUCGGAAUUACUGGGCGUAAAGCGUGCGCAGGCGGUUAUAUAAGACAGAUGUGAAAUCCCCGGGCUCAACCUGGGACCUGCAUUUGUGACUGUAUAGCUAGAGUACGGUAGAGGGGGAUGGAAUUCCGCGUGUAGCAGUGAAAUGCGUAGAUAUGCGGAGGAACACCGAUGGCGAAGGCAAUCCCCUGGACCUGUACUGACGCUCAUGCACGAAAGCGUGGGGAGCAAACAGGAUUAGAUACCCUGGUAGUCCACGCCCUAAACGAUGUCAACUGGUUGUUGGGUCUUCACUGACUCAGUAACGAAGCUAACGCGUGAAGUUGACCGCCUGGGGAGUACGGCCGCAAGGUUGAAACUCAAAUGAAAUUGACGG
rnacentral:rRNA from 1 species